ensembl:antisense 4930524O07Rik RIKEN cDNA 4930524O07 gene
AGUAACCCCGAGACGGUUGCGGCCCACAGGAUGCCUUCCUGUAAUCGCUAAAGUGAUGGGAAGACAAAAACUCCCGGGAUGUGGGCUUCCGGCCAAGUUAUUAACGCUACUGAACCGACGCGUUCCCUUAAAUGGGUCAACGUCUCUAGGCCCGGGAAAUAAGUGAGGCCCUUUCUCCAGCGGAGCCCCGGGACGGGCCGUCGCUCCCACCCUUUCGCUUUCCUUGGGUUUAGCGCCGCCAGGCCGCCCCCAUCCGGUCCCCCGCACCUUCACAGUCUCCUGGCCGCAGCGCCCGGCUGUCAGGCAGCACGCUCAGGGCCAGCGCUACCGCCAGCCCGCGCGUAGCCCACAUCCUCCUCAGCCGUCUCCACCACCGCCGCCGCCGCGCGAAUGAACCGCACCCGGCGCGGAGUUCCGCCUAGUGGGCUGGAACAGAAACCUGAGCUUCCCAUUGGUGUGCGAUCCCCGCGCCCACCCAUAUGCUGCAUCCUCAUUGGUCCACGUGCCCAGGAGUCCAGACCGGCGGCUCCACGCUACCCUCCCUCAUUGGCUGCUGCUGUCUGGGACCUAGACAGUUGUCGGUUGCUGAUUGAGCCUGGGCGGUCCAUAGGGGUGCGGAGGGAAGGUGCACGGGUCGCCAUGUUGGGUUAGGGCAGCUGCUUUGGCUGCUUACCCGGAACCCUCUCAAUCUAUUGACUCGACCCGAAUGCCGAGUCUUGGUUCCACACCCACUCCUCCCGACGCCCGGACUCGUAGAGCAGCAUUUCUGGUGCCACCCUAUAGCCAGUAGGAUGGGCGGCGGGAGCACGGAUCAGAAGCGGUUCCUUGUUUUGAACUACCACGUGGAUUGCCGAGCCAAUCAAGGGGAACGUCCACUUUGAUUCGCCGGCUUGCUCAGACCCCGCUUUAACCUGGGUCAGACGGCAGAACCUCUUAAACGAAAGGCUCUCGGCCUGCCUAGUCGUUUCCCGUCCUGGGCCUCUGAGGACCUCGCGGCAAGGCUGCGAGCAGAGGCGUUGGUCUACCUUCCAAAUGGAGGCCAUGGGAUCUUGGGAGGUUUUGUUCUCCACUCUUGGAGACACGAGGAUGGGAACUGGAGACAUUACCGCCUGGACUGCCCUAAUGCUAAGUGCAAGGGCUUUGGCCACUCGCCCUGGAAGGCGGAAUAUGGAGAGCGGCCGACUGACUAAGUGCAGAAAAGUAUCUGGAGCUAAAAGGGCUUGGAGCCCGGCGACAAGGGUUUGAGAGGGGCACUUAUGCUCCCAUUCAGUGAAAUCAGUGGAUCAAUAUCAGGUAUUCAUCUUUAAUUCACAUCACAGCAGUCAAGGGAUGGAGGUGGGGGAGUCAGUUGCCAGAUAUUUACAUCUAAAAGUCACAUUUUUUGUUGGAUUUAUAACAUGCUACCACAAUAUAUACAGUAAAAUGCCUCUUGGGACACUGGCACAAAUUUUUUUCUUUAACUUUUCUGGUACAGGUAAGAUAAUUUUAAGUCAGUUUUUCUUUAGACAUGAAUACACAAAAGAAAUGGUUAGAAGUUUUCUUGUUUUAAAUAAGCACAGAAUGCCAGAGGUUAAAAACACAUUUAUAGGGCUUAUUACCAAUUAGACACACUCUAUACAUUUUUUUUGCUCAAAUUCCUGUACAAAUACACAGCAUUCAAAUAGGUAUUUACAAAUACGCUUUAAAGAAUGAAAAUCAGUAUUUCACAAUCUUUUCAAAGGAUUCUGAUCUCUGACCUCCCAUUUCCCUCACACUGGCUGGUUUUUCAAUAAAAAGUAUUCAGAAUAGGUCCAUUUCAUCCAGUUGGGGAAAAUGGAGAGAAGUAACACAAAUAUAUUUCACUUUGCAUAAAGCAAGGUCAAGGAACUUAACCCUACAUUCCCCUCCCUACCUCCUGUGCCAUCAAGUGGAGAAGGGAGAUGUCUGCAUGUGAUGACUGGCUGCCUCCGUGGACUGAGGUUCAGACGUGCCUGGAAACAAACCUAAAGCUGCCCUACCUAAGAAUCACAUCCCAAGCUAGACUUGACCCUCAUACCUGUGAACCCAGACGGUCCAGAAACAAGCUUACCAGUGAGUCUGGGCUCAGGAACAGGUGUGUGUGCCCUUGGUGCUGGGGCUAUUGGAUUGGCCUACCUACAUCCUCAACAGUCUCCACUCUGCCUGAAUGAUCCUGAGGGUAUCAGAAAGCCCUACACUGUUGGUACCUGGGCCCCAACAUACUGUGAACGGAAAUGGGCCUUCUUUCUUUUCCUAUAGGUUAUUUGCUGGCAGUUCUAUUAAACUUGUUUCUAAGAG